AUGAACGCUAGCUACAGGCUUAACACAUGCAAGUCGAGGGGCAGCAUGGUCUUAGCUUGCUAAGGCCGAUGGCGACCGGCGCACGGGUGAGUAACACGUAUCCAACCUGCCGUCUACUCUUGGACAGCCUUCUGAAAGGAAGAUUAAUACAAGAUGGCAUCAUGAGUCCGCAUGUUCACAUGAUUAAAGGUAUUCCGGUAGACGAUGGGGAUGCGUUCCAUUAGAUAGUAGGCGGGGUAACGGCCCACCUAGUCUUCGAUGGAUAGGGGUUCUGAGAGGAAGGUCCCCCACAUUGGAACUGAGACACGGUCCAAACUCCUACGGGAGGCAGCAGUGAGGAAUAUUGGUCAAUGGGCGAGAGCCUGAACCAGCCAAGUAGCGUGAAGGAUGACUGCCCUAUGGGUUGUAAACUUCUUUUAUAAAGGAAUAAAGUCGGGUAUGGAUACCCGUUUGCAUGUACUUUAUGAAUAAGGAUCGGCUAACUCCGUGCCAGCAGCCGCGGUAAUACGGAGGAUCCGAGCGUUAUCCGGAUUUAUUGGGUUUAAAGGGAGCGUAGAUGGAUGUUUAAGUCAGUUGUGAAAGUUUGCGGCUCAACCGUAAAAUUGCAGUUGAUACUGGAUAUCUUGAGUGCAGUUGAGGCAGGCGGAAUUCGUGGUGUAGCGGUGAAAUGCUUAGAUAUCACGAAGAACUCCGAUUGCGAAGGCAGCCUGCUAAGCUGCAACUGACAUUGAGGCUCGAAAGUGUGGGUAUCAAACAGGAUUAGAUACCCUGGUAGUCCACACGGUAAACGAUGAAUACUCGCUGUUUGCGAUAUACAGCAAGCGGCCAAGCGAAAGCGUUAAGUAUUCCACCUGGGGAGUACGCCGGCAACGGUGAAACUCAAAGGAAUUGACGGGGGCCCGCACAAGCGGAGGAACAUGUGGUUUAAUUCGAUGAUACGCGAGGAACCUUACCCGGGCUUAAAUUGCAGAUGAAUUACGGUGAAAGCCGUAAGCCGCAAGGCAUCUGUGAAGGUGCUGCAUGGUUGUCGUCAGCUCGUGCCGUGAGGUGUCGGCUUAAGUGCCAUAACGAGCGCAACCCUUGUUGUCAGUUACUAACAGGUUCUGCUGAGGACUCUGACAAGACUGCCAUCGUAAGAUGUGAGGAAGGUGGGGAUGACGUCAAAUCAGCACGGCCCUUACGUCCGGGGCUACACACGUGUUACAAUGGGGGGUACAGAGGGCCGCUACCACGCGAGUGGAUGCCAAUCCCAAAAACCUCUCUCAGUUCGGACUGGAGUCUGCAACCCGACUCCACGAAGCUGGAUUCGCUAGUAAUCGCGCAUCAGCCACGGCGCGGUGAAUACGUUCCCGGGCCUUGUACACACCGCCCGUCAAGCCAUGGGAGCCGGGGGUACCUGAAGUGCGUAACCGCGAGGAGCGCCCUAGGGUAAAACUGGUGACUGGGGCU
rnacentral:rRNA from 1 species